CAUACAAGCUGCUUCUACAGGUCAGAAAUUGGAAGGAAUUGGGGAUGAAUAAAAAAAGAAACCUUAACUGCCUAUGACCCAGCACCUCCUUGUGACACACACCCUAAGCCUCUCAAAAGAACUAGAGGGCAAUGCACAUGUUAGGAUUCAAAUGGGAGCAUCUUUGCCUCGCUCUACUGCCUUACCGUGCUUGAGAGACAAAGGGCCUGACAACAAAGGCUAUAAGGAUAUAACCUUAGCAGAAGCUUGCCUUAAUACUCUAUGUAGUUUGAACAUGAACUGUUCUUAUCCCAACAUGGGCAAUAAGUUAUUAACUCUAUCUUUUGUUACAGAAAGCACAACUCCUCCAAAAAAAGAUGACAAAGCAACCCCGAAGGAAGAAGGAUCAGAGAAGGAACAGAAAUCACCAGAAAGCCCAACAACUCCUCCAAAAAAAGAUGACAAAGCAACC
rnacentral:lncRNA from 1 species